rnacentral:rRNA from 1 species
UAGGGAAUCUUCCGCAAUGGGCGAAAGCCUGACGGAGCAACGCCGCGUGAGUGAUGAAGGUCUUCGGAUCGUAAAACUCUGUUAUUAGGGAAGAACAAAUGUGUAAGUAACUAUGCACGUCUUGACGGUACCUAAUCAGAAAGCCACGGCUACCUACGUGCCAGCAGCCGCGGUAAUACGUAGGUGGCAAGCGUUAUCCGGAAUUAUUGGGCGUAAAGCGCGCGUAGGCGGUUUUUUAAGUCUGAUGUGAAAGCCCACGGCUCAACCGUGGAGGGUCAUUGGAAACUGGAAAACUUGAGUGCAGAAGAGGAAAGUGGAAUUCCAUGUGUAGCGGUGAAAUGCGCAGAGAUAUGGAGGAACACCAGUGGCGAAGGCGACUUUCUGGUCUGUAACUGACGCUGAUGUGCGAAAGCGUGGGGAUCAAACAGG